AACGCACCUUGCGCUCCUUGGUAUUCCUUGGAGCAUGCCUGUUUGAGUAUCAUGAAAUCUUCAAAGCAAACCUUUUGUUAAUUCAAUCGGUCUCUUGCUUUGGUAUUGGAGGUCUUUGCAGCUUCACACCUGCUCCUCUUUGUUCAUUAGCUGGAUCUCAGUGUUAUGCUUGGUUCCACUCGGCGUGAUAAGUUAUCUAUCGCUGAGGACACCGUAAAAAAGUGGCCAAGGUAAAUGCAGACGAACCGCUUCUAAUAGUCCAUUGACUUGGACAAUUAAAUUUUUAUGAUCUGAUCUCAAAUCAGGUAGGACUACCCGCUGAACUUAA
rnacentral:misc_RNA from 1 species